UACGUAGGGUGCAAGCGUUGUCCGGAAUUAUUGGGCGUAAAGAGCUCGUAGGCGGUCAGUCGCGUCUGCUGUGAAAACUCGGGGCUUAACUCCGGGCCUGCAGUGGGUACGGGCUGACUAGAGUGCGGUAGGGGAGACUGGAAUUCCUGGUGUAGCGGUGGAAUGCGUAGAGAUCCGGAAGAACACCGGUGGCGAAGGCGGCCUGCUGGACAGUGGCUGACGCUGAGGCGCGAAAGCCAGGGGAGCAAACGGG
rnacentral:rRNA from 1 species